ACUGUCCCCAGGCUGCUCCUGCCUCGCGGCUCCAAUGGCGGUGGCCCUUAUCCUGGGACUGUGUCCCUUGCAGGUUGGUGGCUGGUGGCAGCGAGCAGGGCACAGCAACGUGAGUAUGGGGACAGGAGGAGAAUGGGGACAGAGUGCCCCGACCCUCUCUGUCACUGCACCCCAGCCAGGGGGUGUCCCUGGGGGACAAUGUCACCCUGCGCUGCCACCUGCCCCAACUGGCUGCCUGGGUCUGGCUGUACCGGGAAGGACGUUGGUCAUACGCCAAGUACAGUGACAAGAAGCAGGACACAACAGAGUUCUCCUUCCUUAGCACAAGUCGGGAACACGCAGGUACAUAUUCCUGCCAAUACCAGCUGUCUGAGUCAGAGGACAUAUCAGUGAUGAGUGACCCCGUGGAGCUGGUGCUGACAGAUCGCAGUUUCCCCCACCUCAUAUCUCCCUUCACCCCGAGGAACGUGUGGGGACAGGGACCAAUGUCACCAUCUGCUGCUGGAACAAGGACUAUGGGGCCGCCUUCCUCCUGCACAAGGAUGGACGCUCAGCCCCUAUCCAGCGCCUGGUCCCAGAUGAUGUUGGCGCAGUCUCCUUCACCCUCUUUGGGUGACCCCAGCUGACAGUGGCACCUACAGGUGCUCCUAUCGCCCCAGGAACUACUCCUUUCUGUCCUCACCCCUUGGGGACAUCGUAACACUGGAGGUGACACCCACAGCAGCACCCCAGGUGCUGAGUUGGUGUCCCGCGGGAACCUGGUGGUGGCAGUGGUGAGGGGCUGCGCUGCUGCCCUCAUCUUUGGCCUCGGCGUCUUCUUUGUCAUCGAUGCCCGCAGCCCUCUGGAUACGGAGAGAUGAGAGUCUGGGUGGGGAAGGGAUUUAAUGUGCAUCUCCUACACAUCUCCCCAGUCUUUCUCUUCCUUCCAUUCUUCUCUAGAAUCCACCAGGUGGGUCCACUAUACAUUGCCUAUCGAUUCCCUCAGAUGUUCCCUGCCCCAUCCCAUCUCCUAUAAAUGCCGCAUGUAUCCCCUGCCUCCCCUUCCAGACCCUAUAAAUUAUCUAGU
rnacentral:lncRNA from 7 species